rfam:Myotis lucifugus cont2.43824, whole genome shotgun sequence.
GGUGCUUCUCGGAUGACCCACCCCGGAAUCAGGCUCCCUCCUCUCUGGUUCCAGGUACGUCACCCAAGAACCACA